rnacentral:rRNA from 1 species
AUGGGGAGGAGGAGCUCGGCGUCGGGGCCAGGCGGCUGGUCUUCCUCGAGGAGCGCCGAGAGUGUGGAGUCAAGGGACGGCAAGGGGGAGAAGGUGGCCGUGGUCGUGGCCGCGGCCGCGCCCGACGACAUGUUGUCGCCAUGGCUGCAGAGGGGAGGCGUGGCGGUGGACGACGAGGAGGCGUCCUCCGACGAGGCAGCGAACACGUCGGAUGCAGCAUUCACCGCCCCGAAGAGGUCGCCGCCGCCGCUGCCAUCGUCGCAGAAGUCGAGGAUGUGCGCGGCUAUGGGGCUCGAGAUGCCCUCCUGCAAGAAACCAACAAACUCGUCAGCGCCCCUUGUUUCAUGCCUCAACUCCGAUCAACAGGAGAGACCAGGUACGCAUGUACACGCCUGUAGAAUGCAAAUGCUACUGUUAGCCACCAUGAUUCUUGAUUCAGAAAGAAAGACAAAAUGCAUCCUACAAUCUACAUGA